CCUACGGGAGGCAGCAGUGGGGAAUAUUGGACAAUGGGCGAAAGCCUGAUCCAGCAAUGCCGCGUGAGUGAUGAAGGCCUUAGGGUUGUAAAGCUCUUUUACCAGGGAUGAUAAUGACAGUACCUGGAGAAUAAGCUCCGGCUAACUCCGUGCCAGCAGCCGCGGUAAUACGGAGGGAGCUAGCGUUGUUCGGAAUUACUGGGCGUAAAGCGUACGUAGGCGGUUAUUCAAGUCAGAGGUGAAAGCCUGGAGCUCAACUCCAGAACUGCCUUUGAAACUAGAUAGCUAGAAUCUUGGAGAGGUGAGUGGAAUUCCGAGUGUAGAGGUGAAAUUCGUAGAUAUUCGGAAGAACACCAGUGGCGAAGGCGACUCACUGGACAAGUAUUGACGCUGAGGUACGAAAGCGUGGGGAGCAAACAGGAUUAGAUACCCUGGUAGUCCACGCCGUAAACGAUGAUAACUAGCUGUUCGGGCUCUACGAGCUUGAGUGGCGCAGCUAACGCAUUAAGUUAUCCGCCUGGGGAGUACGGUCGCAAGAUUAAAACUUAAAGGAAAUUGACGG
rnacentral:rRNA from 1 species